AGUGAACGCUGGCGGUAGGCCUAAUACAUGCAAGUCGAACGGCAGCACAGUAAGAUCUUGCUCUUACUGGUGGCGAGUGGCGGACGGGUGAGGCAUACAUCGGAAUCUACUUUUUCGUGGAGGAUAACGUAGGAAAACUUACGCUAAUACCUCAUACUACCUACGGCUUAAAUCAGGAGAUCUUCGGACUUUUCCCGAUUCAAUUAGCCGGUGUCGGAUUAGCUAGUUGGCUGGGUAAAGGCCCACCAAGGCGACGAUCCGUAGCUGGCCUGAGAGGAUGAUCAGCCACACUGGAACUGAGACACGGUCCAGACUCCUACGGGAGGCAGCAGUAGGGAAUCUUCGGCAAUGGGCGCAAGCCUGAUCCAGCAAUACCGCGUGAGUGAAGAAGGUCUUCGGGUUGUAAAGCCCUUUUAUUGGGAAAGAAAAGAAGCAGAAGAAUCUCCGGAUGUUUUGACGGUACCUAAUGAAUAAGCCCCGGCUAACUUCGUG
rnacentral:rRNA from 1 species